rnacentral:sRNA from 1 species
GUUGAGGGGCGUCUUCCAAUCUCGCACAGCUGCGUUGGCUGUAGAAGAGAACGGACGGCGAUGGCGACGGUCGCAGCAAAUCCAGCUGCUGCUGCGGCGGCUGUGGCGGCGGCAGCGGCGGUGGCUGAGGAUAGAGAGCCACAGCACAAGGAGCUGCCAGGCCUGGACAGCCAGUGGCGCCAGAUAGAAAACGGCGAGAGUGGGCGAGAACGUCCACUGCGGGCCGGCGAAAGCUGGUUCCUUGUGGAGAAGCACUGGUAUAAGCAGUGGGAGGCAUACGUGCAGGGAGGGGACCAGGACUCCAGCACCUUCCCUGGCUGCAUCAACAAUGCCACACUCUUUCAAGAUGAGAUAAACUGGCGCCUCAAGGAGGGACUGGUGGAAGGCGAGGAUUAUGUGCUGCUCCCAGCAGCUGCUUGGCAUUACCUGGUCAGCUGGUAUGGUCUAGAGCAUGGCCAGCCACCCAUUGAACGCAAGGUAUAGUGGAUGGGGAGGGUGCAUGGCGGGGAGUGCGUAGUAAGAAAGCCUUGUAGGCCCAGCAUGGGUACAGAUCCAUGUAUGCUGGGUAGGUACACAUAUGUCUGCUCUCUUCCCCCUCCUAGCUCAUCAUACAGGUAUCUUUGUGUGUCUGCUGUGUGUGUUCCCCUGUGUGGCUCUCUUUACAGACCAUUGUAUAUGUGUGUUUGUAUGCUAUGUUUGUAAGGCAGAGUGUGUGCUCCUGUCAUUUGAGAGGUCACAGCGCUGUGUCUGUGUGAGUACACCUGUGUCUGCACCCCUCUACCCUUACAGGUCAUAGAGCUGCCCAACAUCCAGAAGGUCGAAGUGUACCCAGUAGAACUGCUGCUUGUCCGGCACAAUGAUUUGGGCAAAUCUCACACUGUUCAGUUCAGCCAUACCGAUUCUAUUGGCCUAGUAUUGCGCACAGCUCGGGAGCGGUUUCUGGUGGAGCCCCAGGAAGACACUCGGCUUUGGGC